GCAAACAUGGCAAUAGAGUCAAAAAGCAAGAGCUUUUUAUUUUCCAAAGCAAGAGCUUUUUGACUCUAUUGCCAUGUUUGC